rnacentral:misc_RNA from 1 species
UUUCCGUAGGUGAACCUGCGGAAGGAUCAUUAUUGGAUUUUGAAACUUCAGGCUGCUGCUGGCUCUCCUCGGAGGGCAUGUGCACGCUUGUUGUCCAUUAUUUCUCCCACUGUGCACAAAUUGUAGACCUUUCAGUAGGCCUAUGUUGUUUUUCACAAUCUCUGAAUGUAAUAGAAUGGUUUUGAAUCUUGGAAAUACAAUACAACUUUCAGCAACGGAUCUCUUGGCUCUC